GCGCCCAUAGCUCAGCUGGAUAGAGUACUGCCCUCCGAAGGCAGGGGUCGUGGGUUCGAAUCCCGCUGGGCGCGCCA
rnacentral:tRNA from 2 species